rnacentral:rRNA from 1 species
CCUACGGGAGGCAGCAGUAGGGAAUAUUGCUCAAUGGGGGAAACCCUGAAGCAGCAACGCCGCGUGAAGGAUGAAGGUUUUCGGAUUUUAAACUCUUUUUGUUAGAGAAGAUAAUGACGGUAUCUAACGAAUAAGCACCGGCUAACUCCGUGCCAGCAGCCGCGGUAAUACGGAGGGUGCAAGCGUUACUCGGAAUCACUGGGCGUAAAGAGCGCGUAGGCGGGAUAGCAAGUCAGAUGUGAAAUCCUAUGGCUUAACCAUAGAACUGCAUUUGAAACUGUUAUUCUAGAGUAUGGGAGAGGUAGGUGGAAUUCUUGGUGUAGGGGUAAAAUCCGUAGAGAUCAAGAGGAAUACUCAUUGCGAAGGCGACCUGCUAGAACAUAACUGACGCUGAUGCGCGAAAGCGUGGGGAGCAAACAGGAUUAGAUACCCUAGUAGUC